AACAGAGCCAACGAUUCAUCCCACAUAUUUGAUAAAAAGGUAUAAGAAUUUUGUCAGAGUUUGCAAUGUCAGUCAUAUUGGACAGGUAUCCAUUUUGAAAAUUGGACUGAUUUUAGAACAGAAGUUAAUACGUUUACGUAUAUUUACAUGUUAAAAACUAAUGUUUUUAUCUUUACAUAAACUUAAAUGCAUCUACAAUUUACAUGCACCCAAAAUGCCCAAAUUGUUGCAACAGGUUUAAAGUCUGCAGGCCCAUUCAGUUUGGGGUCAAAUAUUUGUGUCAUCAUUUUUAGGAAAUAAGGUUACUUUGAACACUUCAGAGGCACGGUGUCAUUCUCCUGUUGAACUGAUGCGUGUUUGUUAAUGUUCAUUACUAUGUUGUACAAUUCUAAUUUAGCAUUUGUUUUGAAUGAAAUGAAAGUGUGUUUGGAAGUAAAUGUUGACUGAUUUCAACAAC